GUAGGGAAUCUUCGGCAAUGGACGAAAGUCUGACCGAGCAACGCCGCGUGAGUGAAGAAGGUUUUCGGAUCGUAAAACUCUGUUGUUAGAGAAGAAUGUUGAUUAGAGUGGAAAAUUAAUCAAGUGACGGUAUCUAACCAGAAAGGGACGGCUAACUACGUGCCAGCAGCCGCGGUAAUACGUAGGUCCCGAGCGUUGUCCGGAUUUAUUGGGCGUAAAGCGAGCGCAGGUGGUUUAAUAAGUCUGAUGUAAAAGGCAGUGGCUCAACCAUUGUGUGCAUUGGAAACUGUUAGACUUGAGUGCAGUAGAGGAGAGUGGAAUUCCAUGUGUAGCGGUGAAAUGCGUAGAUAUAUGGAGGAACACCGGUGGCGAAAGCGGCUCUCUGGACUGUCACUGACACUGAGGCUCGAAAGCGUGGGUAGCAAACAGGAUUAGAAACCCUAGUAGUCC
rnacentral:rRNA from 1 species